rnacentral:rRNA from 1 species
CCUACGGGAGGCAGCAGUGGGGAAUAUUGCGCAAUGGGGGAAACCCUGACGCAGCAACGCCGCGUGAAGGAUGAAGGUUUUCGGAUUGUAAACUUCUUUGAUGGGGGACGAAUAAUGACGGUACCCCAAAAACAAGCCACGGCUAACUACGUGCCAGCAGCCGCGGUAA